rnacentral:rRNA from 1 species
GACGAACGCUGGCGGCGUGCUUAACACAUGCAAGUCGAACGGAAAGGCCCUGCUUUUGUGGGGUGCUCGAGUGGCGAACGGGUGAGUAACACGUGAGUAACCUGCCCUUGACUUUGGGAUAACUUCAGGAAACUGGGGCUAAUACCGGAUAGGAGCUCCUGCUGCAUGGUGGGGGUUGGAAAGUUUCGGCGGUUGGGGAUGGACUCGCGGCUUAUCAGCUUGUUGGUGGGGUAGUGGCUUACCAAGGCUUUGACGGGUAGCCGGCCUGGGAGGGUGACCGGACACAUUGGGACUGAGAUACGGCCCAGACUCCUACGGGAGGCAGCAGUGGGGAAUAUUGCACAAUGGGCGGAAGCCUGAUGCAGCCACGCCGCGUGGGGGAUGACGGCCUUCGGGUUGUAAACCGCUUUCGCCUGUGACGAAGCGUGAGUGACGGUAAUGGGUAAAGAAGCACCGGCUAACUACGUG